ACAGCCCGCAGUGCAGCCGUGGGGAAAUAUUUCGCAGGACACAAAUCUGAAAGCCCCUGGAAAGGUCCUGCGGAGUAAAUCUACUGGUUUGUCAAUGGGUUUGCCUAGAGCAUCUCUACUAGGAAGACAUCCAAUCUUGAUCUGAAAACAUCAAGAGACAGAGAAUCCAACUCUUCUUUUGAGAUUUUGUGCUCAUUAAAAUCUGAGAACUAUGGCAAGGAUUUCAGCUUGAUAGGCAGAAAGUAUCUCAUUCAUCCCAAAGAUGCCUUGGGCAGAGUUCCAGUUCUCACGUUGUGCGCUCCAGCUGCCAUCACGGCUGUGGUACAACAUCUGUAGAACCAUCAGCCACAAGGAAUUGCAAGCAUUCCCUGAAAUGAGGAGCAUUAUGAGGAAAAUCAGCACUAGAAAAUAUUCAGCACACAAUAACUGUACGUACUUUAUGUGGAUAUUAAGGAGGUUGCUUGUGGCAGCAGGCUGUGACAAUGGAGGUGACCAGUCCCUUUGUCAUUGCUGGGGAUAAAAGAGUAAGAAUCCAAGGAAAGAAGAACUUUCUAGCUGGGAAAAUGUCUGAGGGUAAAAGUUCCGAAAUUCACCAGCACAUCACUGGCAUUCUAUAGGGCUACCAUAAGUUAGUUCAAGCAGAUUGUCUUGAUUUUAUUUCCAGUGAAAAACUUCAUGGAAAGAUGUUUGUGAAAUGGCGAUGGCUGACUCUUCUACACAGAUGAAAUACAGCUGGAGCCUGUUUUAGGGGCAAUGAGCUGAGAAAUGCUCACCCUUAAAGAGUGACACUGAAUUAUUUCCACUUUGUCACGGCUGUCAUAGAUGUUGUCUUCCAGUUUCAUUUCCCUUUAAGACACUCACCAUUAGCAUACAUUACAAAUGCUAUUCAGAUAAAUCUCUUGCCAUCUUCUGUGUAAGUCAGAUAGUAAAAUCCUUGCUUUUUUUUUUUACCAUGUUUAGACACAUCCAUGUUCCUUAAAUAUAUUUUAGCUCUUUACUGCUCAAUAACACUCCAACGUUUUAAUCUCCAAGAGAAACAUCUGUUCUAUCAGAUAAAGCAAAUAGAGAAAGCACUGAAAAUGGAAGUCAGUGGAUUUGUCCUGCAUGGAAAGUGGAGAGGGUGAGCCAGCAGUCCUUCACAAUUCCUAACUCUAGUGUAAAAUCUGAAUUCUCAUUUCACAUCUCACUUCCAAUGCUCUGUUUUUGGAACUGUCCUCAGACACAGAAACUGUACUGGCAGAAAAAUGGAGAAGACAGGAUCAUCUUCUUAAUUUCAAAAUUGCAUAAUCAGCUGAAAAGCAAAACAGACAAGCAAAAUAUGAGGAUUGAUGUUAGAGUUCUCUAUCACAAAUUUACCUUGUGCCUUCUGCAGAGUCUCUUUCCCCUAAAACAGUCCAGCUCUCUGCAUGCUGUCCUCUCUCUGCUAACUCCUGCAGGCACACAGGAUGGGAAUUUGCUUUACCUUCAGCAAUUUGCUUUCCUUCAUCUGGAAGCCAGAAGAGUCCUGAGGUGGGAGCAUGGGAGCAGAAUCAUAGGAGUGCUGCAUAUUCAGAAAAUCUUGCCCUUGAGACUUUUUUCCCCCAUGACGGUGAUUUCUCUGCUCUGACAAUAUCAUAAUAAAGCCUGGUUGUUGGCUGCCACCAGUGAUACCAGACCAAUUAGGAGCUAGCAACUCUGUCUGGCGGUUGUUCUGCUGUCAUUUGGGGUUACCUACUUGGCCAUCUUGUGUUGGACCUCUGUGAGGUUGAUCACCUAAUGCUGAAAUCCCCAGAUGUAUUGUUUAAGCUGGCUUUCCACCUACAUUUCAGUCACUUGAGAUAUCCUGUGGGGUUGAAGCCAGGAUGACUAACGGAUGUUUGUGCAUCCUGUCUCCCCUUUGACACAGUGGUGAUCAAACCAGCUCUGCCCUCAGAAGACAUCGCCUGAGGCUUGUACAGCCUGUGGACAUCAGACCUGGUUUGCUAGCAGGGUGACUGUAGCUCCUUGGUGUGAGUGGGGCUGAGUCACAUUCCCCUACCUCCACUGUACAGGGACAAGAAGCUGAACCCACACAAAGGGAAACGUUCUGGAGAUGCAGAGUGGAACAUUACAUGAAAAACACGGGGAAAUGUGGUGAUUUUAUGCUCAGCCCAACCAUAGUUGGCUUUCUUCUGGCCAGGAGCGUGAGGCAGACAAAGCUGCCUCUUGAACACUGAAGUUCAGCUUUAUAUUUGGGUGCAAAUAUAGCUAGCCAUAGUGAGAUGACUGGUAGGGAAACAGUCUCUCCUUUCAGCUUUCACCAGAGAAGGCCAGAUUACCAAAGUCAUUCUUACUGGGCUUCUCCUUUUCCCCCUCCCUGUUCUUCCUGCUUUUCUAUUAGCUAUCUGCUAUUUCAAGACCUUGUGUGUAGGCUUGCUUUUGAGUAUUGCUCUUCAUUACUGUUAUUAUUGUGAUACAAUGCUAUAGACACAGUCCUUGUCCAGGCACAAAGUCUGCUUACAUACACUGCUUCAACAGCUUCUCAUUUCUAGAACUUAUUUGAGUACUUGGGAGCUGAAUGAUUUGUGGGGUUUCGGAAGGAAACACGACCAUAAACCCAGGAUGACACCAGCCUUUUCUGUACUUUGCACAAGCUUUGCAGAAUCAGGAGAAAUUAUAUAUAGUCCUGGGCACUGCUCAUUUUGGUUUGGAUCCACCCCCUCUAGUGUGCCCCUGCAAUGAGGUUUGGUGGUUUAAGCAUAGUUUAGGAACCAGAGAUGCCUGAUCCCAGCUGUGCUAGCCCUUGUGUGUCCCUGGUUGUAGCCAUGGACCUCCAUUGUCUGCCUCCUCAGCUGAAAAGUGGAGCUGUAGCUCCUGCUCACCUCCAUGUAGGUGUUGGAAAGGACGACUAGUUUACAUUUGUGAGGGGCUUCUGGUAUGCAGAGUACUUUACAAGUGCUGAGUACAGUUAGGAUGAUUAGAACCUUCUAUAGAGACCAUGUAUGAGGAUCAUAGAAUCAUGGAAUCAUUAAGGUUGGAAAGACCAAUGAGAUUCUCUAGUUCAACUACCAACCUAUCCCUGUGACCACACUGGGCCGUGGCCCUCAGUACCACAUCCACCCUCCGUGGACAGUGACUCCCCCACCUCCCUGCACAGCCCGUUCCAGUGCAUCACUGCUCUUUCUGAGAAGAAAUGUUUCCUAAUAUCCAACCUGAACCUCCCCUGGUGCAACCUAAGGCUGUUGCCCCUCUUCCUAUCACUGCUAUCUGGGAGAAGAGUCCAACUCACACGUCUCUACAUCUUACUUUCAGGUGGUUGUAGAGAGCUACAAGGUCUCCCCUGAGCCUCCUCUCCUUGAGACUGAACAACCCCAGUUCCCUCAGCAACUCUAUAUAAAAUUUGUGCCCCAGACUCUUCAGAGUUUCGUUGCCCUUUUCUGGACAUACAAAGAUGUUUAUUGGGGAAAGAAACAAAGGUAAGGAAAGCCAACUGAGUUCUCCUGGAGAUGAAUGACAGUCAGCACAUCCAGGCAGAUUGUUGGGUUCAGCCCAAGGGUACAGCCCUGGUCUUUUCAUUGCAGUAGGCUUAUUGCUGGUGUUGUUCUUAGAGCAGCUAAGCAAAACCAUAGCCCAGUAUCUGAUGGAUGUGCAGCAGAAGGCAACCAACCUCUGCUCCAAAAAGAGAGGCAGAUAAGGGAAGGAGAAGUGGCCUGGGAGACAUCCAGGCAUACCUGGAAGAGCACCCCGUGCCCAUGGUGAGGCAGCAGACUCAGAUUUCAUGGAGGCUAUAAUUUUGCUUGCUGCUGCUGCGAGAUCCUAAUAACUGAGCCGAGAAGGGAUUUUUUACGCCGUCCGAAGCAUUCCUGAUCCCCCUCCGCAUCUAGUGAAAACUUAAUAGCGUGAGAAAAUGCCUUCCUGUAGCGUCUUGUAAACCACAUGGAGAGCAGCAACAGAUGGAGGGGCGAGAGCGAGGGGCUCCGCAAAGAUGUUGCCGGUCCUCAGAAUUCCCCAUGAGGGAUGGAAGCACUAAGAAAUGGCAAUUUUGUAGGGUGAAGCUUUCAGUCAACGAGAGUGAGAAAUUGCAGAGGGUGCUAAAUGGGUGCUCCGAGGAAUGUACGUAAAGGGAGAGGGAGAGCUGCUCUUCCAUUGCUAUUCCCUCGUACAGAUGGUAGCAGUUAAGAUUCCUGCAGGAGCCAGGAGUUGCAAAGUUAGCACAUCUGAAAAGUUUCCCGAUGCCUGAAGUCAGGCCGUGGCAAACAAUGCUUGCUGGGCUGAGCCCCACUCGGGUGCUUUUAUUGCACUUGGACUGAUUUCAAGCUCUGCUCCGUGAUUAAUUGUGCUUUUAAAAAUAAAGUUCAAAACACUUCCCAGGAAGUCUGGGAAAGGCAGAGAGCUUCGG